ensembl:lincRNA Gm43303 predicted gene 43303
GAGAAAAAGUUGAAGCGAGAGAGAUGAAGACAGAAGUUUGCUGAACAAACUGCUGUUAGAAGGACUGGUGGUCGUGUUGUUCUUGCUGGUCGAGAGCGGACUCGACAAUUGGUGGCCAGUAUGGGGAACCAACUCCCCCAAAAGAGUCCAGCAUGGCUGUCCUCUAAGACACUCCACCCACCAGCUGACUUAGACAGAUGCAGACACCCACAGCCAAACAGUGGAUGGACCUUGGGAACUCUUAUGGAAGAAUAGGAGGAGCAAUUGGGGCCCCAAAGGGGAAAGGAACUCCACAGAAAGAUCAACAGAAUCAACUACCCUGGACCCUUGAUAUUCUUAGAGUCUGAACUACCAAAGAACAUACAUGGACUGGACCUAGGCCUCCCCACACAUAUGUAGCAGAAGUACAGCUUGGUCUUUAUGUGGAUCCCAAACUAUUGGAGUGGAGGCUAUCAAAACUGUUGUCUGUCUCUGGAAUAUGUUCUUCUAGCUGGGCUGCCUUGUCUGGACUCAGUGGGAGAGGAUGUGCCUAGCCUUAUAGACUUGAUGUGCCAGGGUGUGUGAUACCCAGGGGGACCUCCAUCCACUCAGAGGAGAAGGGGGAAGGGGUGAGGG